UACGGAGGGGGCGAGCGUUGUUCGGAAUCACUGGGUGUAAAGGGUGCGUAGGCGGUGCGUUAAGUCUGAUGUGAAAGCCCUGGGCUCAACUCAGGAAUUGCAUUGGAAACUGGCGUGCUGGAGUACGGGAGAGGGAAGCGGAAUUCCUGGUGUAGCGGUGAAAUGCGUAGAUACCAGGAGGAACACCGGUGGCGAAGGCGGUUUCCUGGCCCAGUACUGACGCUGAGGCACGAAAGCGUGGGGAGCGAACGGG
rnacentral:rRNA from 1 species